rnacentral:lncRNA from 1 species
UGGUGGGAAGGUUCAACCUCUACUGUACUACCAACAUCCACCUCUGACAUCGUGGGCCAACAUAAUACUUUUAGAGGGUGUUACUUUCAGAGCAGCCCAUGAAAAUUGAAGGUCCAUGCAUCUGAUGCUACUUCUUGGGAAAGAUGAUAGUGGACAAAUCCAUGAUUAGAGCCUUUGUAAUGUAAACCAUCCCUACUGCGUUGGAAUUGAUUACAGACAUUUGGUGAAAGAUGAUUUGAAUGCACUGUUCCCUGCAGUGUCCUUCAUGCCAGUUAUUGAUUGGAUCUUCACUCAAUGCAGAAAGCCUCUCUGUGAGCCCAUGCUUUAAAUGUAAUAAUAAAGUAGGUCAUUG